rnacentral:rRNA from 1 species
GACGUAGGGUGCAAGCGUUGUCCGGAUUUACUGGGCGUAAAGAGCGCGUAGGCGGCUCGUUAAGUGGGAAGUGAAAGCUGUGGGCUCAACCCACAAACCGCUUUUCAUACUGGCGAGCUGGAGUGAUGCAGAGGUGGAUAGAAUUCCCGGUGUAGCGGUGAAAUGCGUUGAUAUCGGGAGGAAUACCCGUGGCGAAGGCGGUCCACUGGGCAUCAACUGACGCUGAGGCGCGAAAGCGUGGGUAGCAAACAGG